CACGUAGGCACCAAGCGUUGUCCGGAUUUAUUGGGCGUAAAGAGCUCGUAGGCGGUUCGGUAAGUCGGGUGUGAAAACUUUGGGCUCAACCCAAAGCCUGCACUCGAUACUGCUGUGACUUGAGUCCGGUAGGGGAGACUGGAAUUCCUGGUGUAGCGGUGAAAUGCGCAGAUAUCAGGAGGAACACCGGUGGCGAAGGCGGGUCUCUGGGCCGAUACUGACGCUGAGGAGCGAAAGCGUGGGGAGCGAACAGG
rnacentral:rRNA from 1 species